UCUUACAGAUGAGCAAAGAAAGUGGUUUCUUGAGAUGGAAUUUACUCCUGGUGAAAAUGCUGUGAA
rnacentral:pre_miRNA from 1 species